GAACUUUAAAAACUGCGUUAUAUCCAAAGGAAAUAACUAAGUGAAGUCGAAAACUGUAUCUUAGGUACUUUUCUCCCCUAUAAUCAAGGAAAAGAUCUAAUUAUUUAUUUUAACAAAAUAUAAAAUAUUGUUUUAUGGUUUAGUCUUUGGCGAGGAUGGUUGGGUGACCUAGACGUAAUGCCAUUAGAAUUCUGUUUAGUUAUUCCAUUUUUUGCAACGGAGCGUUUCCAUAAAAUGUAAAAACGGAUAGUAUUAAGCUUCUGUAUGAUAAGAACGGAAUCUGAACUGGUAGCUAAUCCGUUUGAUCAAUAUUUCUGAAAUGAAACUGUGUCCCCGCGGUGAAAUAUUUUAACAAUGAUAGCAAUAUGUUACGUUUGGACAAAUAUCGCUACUGCAAUAUCGGCGUAUGUGAUUUGACAGUGAUAGCAGUCAGUAAAGUUCUUAUUAGUCGCGCCACCAGCGUAAUAAAAUGUCCUUAUUACAUUUUAAAAUAACAACAUAAUAGAAGAUCCAGACAAUAUUGAUUGUUUAUAUGGCAACAUGGCAACUCUUUGCUACACCAUACGGUUGCCAUGACAACACGGGAACCCUUUGCAUCACCAUAUCGAUUACCAUGGUAACGCUACGCUACGUAUGUAUGAUAUAUGUAACUUUCAAAAGACACAAGAUUUAUGAAACAGCAAGUGUACAAUCAUACCUUAAUGUCUAAUUUAUACAGUUUAUGAACACUUAAGUUUAAUCUAAGUUUAACGUUUAAUCUAAGUUUAUCAAUUUAUAUAAUUUAUUUAUUUUAUGGGCAUUUAAGUAAUGUAUACCUAUUUAUGUAUUUAAACACUAGUAUUUCUUAAAAAAGAGAUCGAGCUCAAUUUUACAAUAUUGUAAAAAUGCACGACGAUGCCAUGUUUAGUUUUUAGUUCAUUUUCCAAAGUAUAAAUAUUAAGUAUCUUAGUUACCUACUUAUAUACAUAGUUUUAAAUUUUAUACAAAUAUAGGGCAUUGCAAUAUAGCAUAUCUAAAUUAGGAUCUUAUUUGCCGCUUUGAAAUACAAUUAUACAGUAUCCUAGUAUUGUUAAUUAAUAAUUAUUAUGAUAAUGUAGAAAAAAUAGUAAAUCCAUGUCCACAUUACCUAUGUGUUAUGGAAGAGAGAUUUAAGAUAAAAAUGGAGCUUGACUACAAUUAAUAUAAAUUGUGUCUUAUUCAAAAUGUUGAGAUUUGUGAAUAUGUCACUGUGACGAAAAAUAUCUAUUUUUGGUGUAAGACAGCAUGUAGGUACCUUUAUCCUUAGGAUGAGUUUGAUAUUGACGUAUUGCGCGUAUGUAACUUACUUUCUGUGUAUCCGGUUCAUAAUGUCAUAUUACUGGGAGCAAGACGUACAUAUGGGCAUUUGCAGAAUUUGGGACCCCCCAAUCAGUGUAAAUUGUUAACUAUAUACAAUGAACUCAUUGUCAGUUUAGAUAAUUAAAGCAUGAAAUUUCAAAAAAAAUAUUGUUUUUGUGUUAAUUACAUAAACUUUAAGCGAUAAUCUACAUGUAGAGAGUAAAAAAAGUAAAUUUUUAAACAAAUUUUGUGCUUCAUUGUCGUCACACACCUGACAGCGAGUUAUUUUUUGUUAACAACUUACGCUAACUGGGGGUCCCAAAUUCUGAAAAUGCCCCUAUAUAUGUGAGAUAAGUUACGCAGACGGUAGGAAUAUGUUACAGUGAAACUCGUUGUAUGGCUACUUAUUAACCAAAACGAUCUGUGUUGUAAAAUUUGAAUGUUCAAUGUGAUAAUAUGACUGUAACCUUUACUUACUCCCGGUGUUUCUACCCAAAACUCUUCUAAAAUAAAGUGACUUUGUAAA